AGGAAGGCACACAUAAAUACCAUCUGAAUUCAAAGGAGGGAGAAGAACCUUUCUGCCUGGGGUAUCCAGAAAGGUUUCAUGGGGGUGGGAUGAUCUAGACUUUAGAAGAGCUUCUCAAAGAGAGAGAGACACAGAGAGAGAGUGACAGAGAGACAGAGAGACAGAGAAAGGCAUUCUAGACAGCAUGAACAGACAUACUGAGCCAAAAAAGAUCAAAGUUAAUUUAUAUGCUCACUCUCUCUCUCUUAAGAGAAAACAAGUGGGGACCAUAAUAGACAACAACCUCCUCUUGACUUUGAACUACAACUAGAGGGAAUCCCACUAUUCCGGAAAAGCUCAAGGAGAGGAUGGAUACUUGAAGACUUAAAGCAAGAGCUCGCUGAGCUGGGCAUUCCCUUAGAUGACCUACCUGGGUUAGAAGCAAGUGGGGAGUCACUUGAUAUUGAAGCUUUAUUACCAUCCAUCUUUGCUGCCUGCUUUUGUGGGUGUCCUCUGAAUACAAGGACUGUGUUGCAUCCCUGCUCUCCUUCAGCCAUCUCCAGAGCAGUCAACCUAAAGUUCCCUCAAUCAGAACCUAGGAAGAAGCCAGAACCAGCCAUAGUUAAAGCCCCAAGUAAGCCUCCUACUCAAUCAUUUCUUCACACACUGACUGAGGCUAUAUCCCCAGCUCCUCCUACCAGUAGAUCUCAAACUAGGAGCAACCCUCGACAGCUAAUCCCACUGCCAGUUUGGCCCCAGCCCUUUUGUUUCAAGGUCCCCAAAACUAAACCUCAAAGGAUUCACCAUCCUCCUCUUGCAUGUUUAGGUCCCAGAUUCCCAAAAUGGAAAGGGAAAAAAAAGUCCUCUUAGCCUCCGCUGUCAAUUUCUAAUCCCUUUAAAAUAAAGCACAGUAUUUGAUUCAACAAUGUUUUGGCCUCUCUCUUGUGUUGAAGAAGACCAUCAUAUACAGAAAUGAUGAAAACAGUGACACCUUCUAUGUUUUUAACACUUGAUGAUUACAAACAUGUUAUCUCAUCUGCAUGAGAGGAGGUUUGGUAGAAUAAGUAUUUACAACCACAGAUUCCAUAUGGCUUACAUUUAAGGUCUGGAAAUCACUUUGCAAGUGGAAAAACAGUGAAGCCCUUGGAGAAGUUGACCUUUCCCAAGGUCACACAAUUUAGGAAUCCAAGAAUUCAUGGUAGGUGGGGCUGAAGAAUUCUAAAUGAUGGAAUCCUCAAAUUUUACAGAUAUGAAAAUUAAAUAAACAUCCUACUUCCCUCUUAGAUGAGAGAAAAAUUAGACUAGAGAAGGCACAGGAAAAAUUGAGGGGAUGGAGGACUCCUCAAAGCUGAGGGAGUAGAACUAGUACUGAAGGACCAUCAGUGAGAAAUCAUAGAUCAACAACUGGAAGAGCUAAGUGGUCAUUUAGUCCAACUUCCUUAAUUAUUCAGAGAAGGAAAAGAAUUCAAAAAGAAAAACUCAAAUAGAAGGACCUGGAAAGGAAAGGAAGGCAGAAUUGAAGAAGGAAAGAGAGAAGAGAGUUGGUAAGAAAGGGGAAAGAAAAUAUAAAGAAAAGAAAGGAGUGGCUGUCAUGAGUGACAUGAGACAACUGAGAACCUCUAUCCAAGUAGGUAUAGAAGGCAGAACUGGAGAACAAAUUUUAUGUUUCUCUCAAAGACAAGUGAUUUUUUUUUUGCUCAAAAUGUAGACUGGUCUCCCCUCCUAGAAGAGAUGGUAAAGAAAGGGUCUGGGAAACACCUCUCCACUAUCCAGGUUAUUUUAUAAGGAUGAAUAAAGAAUUAUUUUAAAGAAAGUUGGGGAGAGGGAUGGGAGAGAGAGAAAUGAAAAUGAGAGAAAGAGAAAGGAGAAAAUAUUACUCAAAACAGGAUCUGAAAAGACAGAAGAAAUCUGAUGUUUUGGGAGGUUAGUGAGUGGAACAAUAUGACAUGGAGAAGGAAAGAAUGAGGACCAUUGAAAUUGAACUCAAAGCAAAGCAGCAGAUAUGAAUUUCUUCCUGAAGAGGAGGGAGCUAGACCCCAGGAGGAGGAAACAGCUGCUUCCACUUCAGUCAACGAUGAUAUGACUCUCACAGCAAUGUCAGAUAAGAGAUCAUUCAGUUAGGGUCAGAAGAAGACAGGGUAAAUAGUGGUAAUUGAUGUCCCUUCUGAUAGGGGAUACUGACAGUUAUUUGUUUAUCUGAUAAAAAUAGAUGACUGUUCUUUCGAGGACAUAGAUCCAGAAUAUGACAGAGAAGCUCCUAAGAUUCUGAAGCAGAUACCCACUACCCACUCACAAUGAUUUUCUAAGUGCAAACAAUAUCACCAGAAAGAAUCUAUAAAGUGCUGCUAAAGACUAUAGAGUCUUCUGCAAAAAACUGAAAGUCUUAAGGCCAUGGUGCCUCCAUCCUUUCUACCAGUCAAAGGCAAAGAGAAAGGCAGAAUUGAAAAUCGUGAACAGCUAGUUAAAAUGAUGGUGUCCAGGGAUGGAACACAACUCUUAAUAGAGUACUAACAAACUCCUAGUCUAGAAUGGAAUGCAUUUAACAAGGGCUGGUAAGAAUGUAUCUGUCUGAUUAGAUGUUUGGCAAAUCCAAUCAAAAGGGAAUUAAUCUGAAAAGGAAGAGAAAAGGAGGAAACCUCCUGUGUUUCUAUCCGUUGAAGUAUAGACCAUAGAGAAUAGCUACAAUAUGAUCCCAAAGAUAUAACCCUAAAGAUAACCAAAAAUUCAGAGAAGACAAAAUCCAAGAAAAAGGCCAGUAAUAAAACUCCUGACCCCAGA